rnacentral:rRNA from 1 species
UACGAAGGGGGCUAGCGUUGCUCGGAAUCACUGGGCGUAAAGCGCACGUAGGCGGCUUUUUAAGUCAGAGGUGAAAUCCUGGAGCUCAACUCCAGAACUGCCUUUGAUACUGGAGUGCUUGAGUCCGGGAGAGGUGAGUGGAACUGCGAGUGUAGAGGUGAAAUUCGUAGAUAUUCGCAAGAACACCAGUGGCGAAGGCGGACUCACUGGCCCGGUACUGACGCUGAGGUGCGAAACGUGGGGACAA